AUUGACCGCUGGCGGCAGGCCUAACACAUGCAAGUCGAACGAGUGGCGGACGGGUGAGUAAUGUCUGGGAAACUGCCUGAUGGAGGGGGAUAACUACUGGAAACGGUAGCUAAUACCGCAUACCAUCGGAUGUGCCCAGAUGGGAUUAGAUAGUAGGUGGGGUAACUGCUCACCUAGGAGACGAUCCCUAGCUGGUCUGAGAGGAUGCCCAGCCAGACUGGAACUGAGACACGGUCCAGACGCCUACGGGAGGCAGCAGGGGGGAAUAUUGCACAAGGGGCGCAAGCCUGAUGCAGCCAUGCCGCGUGUAUGAAUAAGGCCUUCGGGUUGUAAAGUACUUUCAGCGGGGAGGCGUUACCCGCAGAAGAAGCACCGGCUAACUCCGUGCCAGCAGCCGCGGUAAUAC
rnacentral:rRNA from 1 species